UGGGGAAUAUUGCACAAUGGGCGCAAGCCUGAUGCAGCAACGCCGCGUGAGGGAUGACGGCCUUCGGGUUGUAAACCUCUUUUAGCAGGGAAGAAGCGAAAGUGACGGUACCUGCAGAAAAAGCACCGGCUAACUACGUGCCAGCAGCCGCGGUAAUACGUAGGGUGCAAGCGUUGUCCGGAAUUAUUGGGCGUAAAGAGCUCGUAGGCGGUCUGUCGCGUCUGCUGUGAAAUCCCCGAGGCUCAACCUCGGGCCUGCAGUGGGUACGGGCAGACUAGAGUGCGGUAGGGGAGAAUGGAACUCCUGGUGUAGCGGUGGAAUGCGCAGAUAUCAGGAAGAACACCGAUGGCGAAGGCAGUUCUCUGGGCCGUAACCGACGCUGAGGAGCGAAAGCGUGGGGAGCGAACAGGAUUAGAUACCCUGGUAGUCCACGCCGUAAACGUUGGGCGCUAGAUGUGGGACCAUUCCACGGUUUCCGUGUCGCAGCUAACGCAUUAAGCGCCCCGCCUGGGGAGUACGGCCGCAAGGC
rnacentral:rRNA from 1 species